ACGGGGGUACGGGCAAUGAUCACUUGUCCGGGGGGCCACGCAACGACACGCUCACGGGCGGUCUUGGCAACGAUGUGCUCACCGGAGGGGAUGGGGCCGAUCGGUUCGUGUAUCGAGCGGGUGAAUCGGGCGCGGCGAACGCCGAUCACAUCACCGACUUUACUGCCGGGCCGAAGGGCGAUGCGCUGGACAUUCACGAUCUACUCACGGGCUACGGUGCGGCUUCCCCGAUCGGGGAUUUCGUGGGACUUACUGAGGUUGGCGGCAGCACGCAGCUCACCGUGGAUGGGGAUGGCACGGGGGGUGCGCAAAGCGCGCAGCUCGUGGCAACGCUUAACGGUGUGACGGGCCUGCUGUUGAAUGACCUGCUCGCUAAUCACAAUCUGAUCGUAGCUUGAUGCGAAUUCGCGCCAGCGGCCAGGUCAGUCGCGGCGGCCAAACCCUCCACUCGCGCACGGUGACGCGAUCGCAGGUUACGGCCCCGCAUUCGCGGUUUUUACCAAUGCGACAGGACCUAUAUCAUAUUCGCUGGUUAUUUUGAGAUGCAAUCAUCAGGCUUAAGCAGCUGGCCCAACCGAAAUCACACGGCGAAUUUCGUCGGAUUUGAACCCGAGCGCCGUCGGACGCCGUACGCCCUGCAACACCACGACAUCAUAGAGUUCGGAGACCACGCCCUCGAUCCGCAGUGAGUGCACCACGUCGCCGCUGGUCAAAUCGACGACUUGUAACUGGCAGCGCGCCUCGAUGUUUUUCUCGCGCAGGCGAUCAUCCAGCGCAAGUCCGCUGAAAGUCUUGUUCUCGCGCGGCUUCGAGAGUCCCACGAUAG
rnacentral:misc_RNA from 1 species